rnacentral:rRNA from 1 species
UACGUAGGGUGCAAGCGUUAAUCGGAAUUACUGGGCGUAAAGCGUGCGCAGGCGGUUUCUUAAGUCAGAUGUGAAAGCCCCGGGCUUAACCUGGGAACUGCGUUUGAAACUGGGAGACUUGAGUGUGGCAGAGGGGGGUGGAAUUCCACGUGUAGCAGUGAAAUGCGUAGAUAUUGGGAGGAACACCUGCGGCGAAGGCGGCUACCUGGACAGAAACUGACGCUGAGGCGCGAAAGCUAGGGGAGCGAACGGG